CAGGUGAAGCCUUCUGAUUUCCAAUACCUGAAGGUCAUCGGCAAAGGAAGCUUUGGAAGGUGGUGUUAGCGAGACACAGACAGAGUGAAAGUAUGUAUGCUGUCAAGGUUCUACAGAAACAGGUCAUACUGAGGAAGAAAGAGCAGAGAGAUGUGAUGGUAGAGAGGAGUGUGUUGCUGAAGGUACUGCAGCAUCCAUUCCUGGUGGGGCUCCACUUCUCCUUUCCAGACCUCUUCCCGGAGCCCAGAGCAACAUUCUACUCUGCAGAGAUGGCCUCAGCCCUGGGCUACCUCCACUCCCUCAACAUAGCCUACAGGUGACACACACACACACACACACACACAACACACA